rfam:Candidatus Omnitrophica bacterium CG1_02_46_14 cg1_0.2_scaffold_22821_c, whole genome shotgun sequence.
GACCCCAUCGUCUAGCCUGGCUUAGGACAUCACCCUUUCACGGUGAUGACACGGGUUCGAAUCCCGUUGGGGUCG